AAAAGCAUAUUGUGCCGUUACCUAUUUUCGAUAGUAUCCUAAUUUCGAUAGGUUAUUAUUUUUAACGAUCAUUCGAUAAUUGUAAUGUCAUUUUUCGGAAUGUUUUUCCCAAAAUCAGCGUCAGUAACAAGAAGUGUCAGAUAGCCAAAAAGAUCGAGAAUUACGCUUUUCAAAGAGAUAUUUUCCAUCCAGAGAGGAAAUUAUAAGAAUGAUGAUCCAGAGGCCUUGGGCAAUGCUUUCCAGUCGAUAAAAUAUGGAAUGAGUGUCCAUGCUGAAUUGUUACUGCCAAAUGUUUCCAAGUCCCCUAGACAACUUUAAAAUAUGAUAAAUGGGCGUAAUAACAUUGGGUGUGUGUCUUCAGGACCUUCACCACUAUUUAAAAUUGUUUGAAGUUGCUUUAUUUGUUCAUUAUUUAAUGUAAUCAAUUUGGUCGAAAAAAUAAGAAUAAAAGAAUCAUUCUAUUUAA